CAUUGAGCCGGAGAUGUCCGAAUAGGGCAACCUAGAAACAGCCUGUUGAAUAUAUAGACAGGUAUGAGCGAACCUAGCGAACUGAAACAUCUUAGUAGCUAGAGGAAGAGAAAGAAAAAUCGAUUUCCCAAGUAGUGGUGAGCGAAAAGGAAAGAGCCUAAACCAGCAAUUUUAAUUACUGGGGUAGUGGGAAAGCGUCAUGGAAGCUGGAAGCUAGACGAAGCAGCCAAAAACUGCACCAAAGAAGGUGAUAGUCCUGUAGUCGAAAGUGGAAAGAUACUAGCUUAAUCCCGAGUAGCACGGGGCACGAGAAAUCCCGUGUGAAUCAGCGAGGACCGAUCAUCGUAAGGCUAAAUAACUACUGUGUGACCGAUAGUAGAACCAAGUACCGCGAGGGAAAGGUGAAAAGAACCCGGAAGGGGAGUGAAAUAGAACAUGAAACCGUUAGCUUACAAGUCAGUGGGAGGACGAUUUAACGUCUGACCGCGUGCUGUGAAGCAUGAGUCGGCGAGUUAUAGGCAGUGGCAGGU
rnacentral:rRNA from 1 species